GGUCUUAUAGGUCUUGUAAAUGUAACUGGGAUGUUUGGCCUCAUCGUUGGUCUUGUAGAUGUAACUGGGUUGUUUGGCCUUAUCGGUGAUCUUAUAGAUGUAACUGGGUUGUUUGUCCUCAUCAGUGGUCUUGUAGAUGUAACUAGGCUGUUUGGCCUCAUAUGAGGUCUUGUAGAUGUAAAUGGGUUGUUUGGACUGAUCGACGGUUUUGUAGAUGUAAUUGGGUUGUUUGGCGUCAUCGA
rnacentral:lncRNA from 1 species